UACGAAGGGGGCUAGCGUUGUUCGGAAUUACUGGGCGUAAAGCGCGCGCAGGCGGUCCUUUAAGUCAGGGGUGAAAGCCCAGAGCUCAACUCUGGAACUGCCUUUGAAACUAGAGGACUUGGGUACGGGAGAGGUGAGUGGAAUUCCGAGUGUAGAGGUGAAAUUCGUAGAUAUUCGGAAGAACACCAGUGGCGAAGGCGGCUCACUGGCCCGAUACUGACGCUGAGGCACGAAAGCGUGGGGAGCAAACAGG
rnacentral:rRNA from 1 species